AAAAGUGAGGAGCUCACUGUGCUGGCCCACAGCAGUUCUCCACAAACCCUCCCUAGAGCCUCAAAUUCCUAUUUUCCCCCAAACCUGCUACCUCUUCCUCACUCUUGCUGAUGCUCUGGUAGGACAGCGUCAUACCAGGGCUCUGAAAAGCACCCACUGGUCACUACAAAAGACAACCUGACAUUUAUUGGGGGGCAGGGAGGGACAGUCUCUUUGCAGCCAGGCUAACCUCAACUCAAGGUCCCCCUGCUUCCACCUCAAGAGCAGCUGAGAUUGAGUGCUGUGGUGCUGGGCCUCAAGGAAUUCCUCUUUCCUCCUUAGUCCCCAGAACUCGCUCUGCAAGCAAAGUAGACACUCAAACACUUGAAGGUCAGCAGCCACAUAGCCUUCCCUUUCUCUCAGCAGACCACUGAGCCACAAUGUUCACUUAGGAUCAAGUUUCCUGGCCUGCAAAGUUCCUGGUCUGAGUUAUUUGCUUCACCUAGCAGACAUGGUGACUGUUGAAAAAAUCAUGUCCCUCAGUGCAAGGUGUGGGUAAUAGUAAAAGAGAAAAGAAAUUAAGACGUUUAAGUUUCAACAUAUUACCAUUCAACUUCUUCAAGGAAAUUCUUUGGGCAGUCUGAGGCCCUAAAGAGUAAUUUCAAACAUGCCCAACACACCUAAACAAAUUAUUUCAGCAGUAGGUGAUUUCAGGGCAGUGCCGAGAUAAAUCUUCUAAACACACCCAGAGAAUAAGCAGAGGGCUGCCCAUGUAGGCACACAGCAUAUCUUACUGAUAACACAUUUCUCGUGAAAAAAAAAAAGUCAAAGAAAUUAACUUACUAUAAAAAUGUUUUUAAGAGUAAAAAUAAAAAGUUAGUGGUUUAUCCUUGAGGCUACUGAGCAAAAGUUAUUUCCUAAAUUUUUGUAGGAUUAAUUUAUUAAAAUUAGUAUCUUACAAUAAAUUAGAAAAAGCAUUUAACAUAUAUUAAUCUAAAAUUGCGAUACUCAUUCCAAACAUUUCAAGUAUAGGCUACUUUCAUUUAACUAAAGUCUAUCAGAUUAGGAAACAUCUAAAUGUAUACUUCUGAAAAUAUAUCUGAAGAAUUUUUACAAGGAUUGCUUUACUUUAAAACCCUUUUUAAAGGGCUGGAGAGAUGGCUCAAAGGUUAAGAGCACUGCCUGCUCUUCCAGAGGUUCUGGAAUCCAUCUCCCUGCUGCUCUAAGUAGGGAAUGGUCUUUCUAUACACUGGCUGCAAGACUAGAAAUAUCCAAUGAGAAGGAAAUUGUGCCAAGGCCUCCCCUCCUCUCCUUCACCCCAGUAACUCUCGCCUCAUGGGACUGAUCUGAAGUGAGAAGCGUUUCAGGGAAGUUAUGUAAAGGAAGGCAAAGGAGGAGGCCAGGCCUUGUGAAUGCCAGGACAAAGGGUAAUACAGAAAUGACCAGGUCUUCACUCCUCUCUAAGAGAUAUAAUUCACAUAUCACAAAACGCAAACAUUCACAAUGUGCACUUCAGAAUUUAUUGACUACAUCAAACCUGUAGAUAGCUUAGGCUGCCACGCCCACGACGGUGUCGCCCGCGUGACAAAUGCCUUGGAUGAGGUGGUUACGUGGGAAAUGGGGGCUUGAGGCCCUCGGGUCUAUGCCCCCAGCGACCCCUUAUCAAUCUGCCCGAAUCAUGGUGCCAGGCUACACGGAACCACGCAAAAUCUGCUUGCAGAGGCUGGCUGGCAUUCUGCUUUUUUUCUCUUUGCAGCUGUGACUAUUGCUGUUUCCUUGUGUAUUGAUUUCAGGGAGUUAGCUCUCAAUGUUCCUGAUGUGCCCCAUAAAGAGAAUAAUGAUUCCUCAAAAGUGGCCUCAAUACCCCCACCUAUAAUUCAAGCUUUUAGGCAAACAGUUAAAGAGGGUCCUAGAAGUUUGGGGGAAUUUAUGAAUGAUUUAGAGCAAAAAGAACUUAUGACUCAGAGGGACGAAGAUUCUAGCGAGGAGAGAGGAAAGUAAAAGUCCAGGAACUCAUAUGCAAUCCACACGCGCAGCCAACAGCAGCUGCAAGGAAGCAGUUACAGGAACUAGCCAGUCCUACAAGAAUUAUCAAGGGACAAAUAGAGUUUCUCAUCAAGGGUCGGUGGUGGCAACCCCCUAACUUUAAUCCUAGAUAUAAUAAUUAUUUGGAGCCAUUGCCCUUUACGGGAGCUUAUGAUAAACAUGGGAACCAAUGGGUGAAUCAUAAUAGUAUGAAAACAGAAUGGCAUAAGUUACAGUUCAUGGAAAGACUAGCUAGGUCCCAACCUCCCUGGUGCCUUCUCACCUGCAAGCAAAGGUUAAAUAUUUUCACACAAAUGAAACCAUGGUUAGAACGAUGGUGGGAAGGGUUUAAUUUUGAUACAAAGCAAAGGUCUAAUAAUUACAUAGAAGGAAAACUUCAGCUAGGGCCGUAAUGUUCUCUGGAUGAGGGACCACAAAAGAGAAAAUAACACCUGUACUCAUGAGAUCCGUUAAUCAUUCUGAGAAAAUUGUGUGACCACAUUGUUAAUUCUAUGUCUAUCGCCCCACUGGCCGAUUGCCAUGUUUCCUCAAAUGAUUGUAUAAAAAACACUGCUUGAUCUGAGUAAAAUUGCAGCAGUUUCACAGCA